UCCUGAUUUCAUGCUUUAAUUGUCCUAUCCAUUUACUAUUGGCGAGUUUCUAUAAUUAUACAUGAACAGGAGCUAUUGACUUCAACCUGGACAUAUAGAAACAAUCUAUUGAAUUACAAAACUAAUUGAAUCAUGUCAAAAUUACUGAAGUACUAAUAAUCCAAACCAAAUUAUUGACUAUAAACUCACACAUUCACAAAUACUAGUGCUAUAAUCUAUGCAUCCAAACACUCCAAUCAAAUACAAGUAUUACAACCCUGGACAGUUUGUCAUAACAUGAUUUAAACAUUGAGUUUAUUCCAAAUAAAAUAUUAGACUAAUGAAUCAGUGAGCUUCGAAGAUGAUCAUGCAGCAAAUGUGUUUUCCAUUUCAUGAAGGAGUUUACAUUGAUUCCAAAUGUGUACCUCGAAGGGAUUUGACAGAGGAAGAGAUCAGUUACAGUAAACAGAUGAGCAGCAGCACAGUAGUACUUGAAAACCCAGAAAAUAGAAGGAAUAGCUCAGAAACAAAUUGAAUAUAGCAGGAUUAGCAACAGAUGAUUCCAGCAGUAGAGAAAAACCAAAUCAAACCCCAGUAUUGUUUCAAAUCCAAACAGGACCGCAAAAUAAACCCAAAAACAGUACCAGAAUGCUUAGCUAUUCGAUCCAAAUCUAAUCGACCAGCUACUAAAUACCUCCAGAUGCCCUUGUAAACCAAAGUCAAAGUAGAAGCAAAGAAAUUCAAAUAGGAGCUGAAAAUGAGUUAACUAGGCAAUGAAACAGUGAUAUAUUCUGGGUUUUUUUUAUUUUAAAUUUUUUUAAUUUUUGAAGGUUUGAAUCUAAAAAAUACAGAUCUGAAAAAUAAGGAAAAGAAGACUUCUGAGAGAUUUUUGAUUGCUGAAAAGUACUUGGAAUUUUCAGGGAGUCUAAAACUUGUUAGUGAAGGAAUUGAGGUUUCCUUUUAUAGGCAACAAAUAGGGUAGAAUGUUCUAGAUGACACUCACACAUUUUUUCUCUUUUUAUUUUAGAUUUCACCUAUUAGUCUGGGAAUUUGCAGGGAGUCUAAAACUUGUUAAUGAAGGAAUUGAGGUUGCCUUUUAUAGGCAACAAAUAGGGUAGAAUGUUUUAGAUGACACUCACACUUUUUUUCUCUUUUAGUUUCAGAUUUCACCUAUUAUUCCUUUAAUUUCUGACUUGUUUCUUAAGUUGUUGUCCUAAUCAUACUGAAUUAUACACUAAACUCCUAUUCUAGAAGGCCCUACGGUGUUCUUUUAGCUAUACAAUACCUAUACUACCCCUAUCUUGAUUAUAAAAUUACUAUUCCUCAUAAAACAACCCUUUUCUAUGUCUAAGCUACCCUUAUUUACCACCUGAAAUUGCUAAAUCCAGCUGACUACACCAAACCCCUUACCCUUGGCUAAAAUCUAACUAGUGUUAACUAAAAAGGAUAAUGUAUUCAGCUAUAUCCAAACAACCUAUUUUAAACACUACCCUAAUUAACACUAAUAUUGAAUUAACACUGAAUUAACAACUAACAUAAACUGAAUCAAAUAUGGGUCGAAUCCAGAAGGAUAAAACAAAACAAAAUCAAUAUGAACAAAUUAAAUAAGUUUACAUCUAUUCCAAAUGUGUACCUGGAAAUGGAUUUGACAGAGGAAAGAGAUCAGUUACAAUAAACAGAUGAGCAGCAGCACAAUAGUACUUGAAAACCCAGAAAAUAGAAGGAAUAGCCCGGAAACUAAUUGAAUACAGCAGGAUUAGCAACAAAUGAUUCUAGCAGUAGAGAAAAACCAAAUCAAACCCCAAUAUUAUGUCAAAACCAAAUAGGACAGCAUAAUAAACACAAAAACAGUACCAGAAUGCUUAGAUAUUCGACCCAAAUCUAAUCGACCAGCUACUAAAUACCUCCAGAUACCCUUGUAAAGUAGAAGCAAAGAAAUUCAAAUAGAAGCUGAAAAUGAGUUAACUAGGCAAUGAAACAAGGAUAUAUUCUGAUUUUCUUUUUUUGUCUUUUUUGUUUUUCUUUUUAAUGUUUUGGAUUUUUUGAAGGUUUGAAUCCAAAAAAUACAGAUCUGAAAUAUAAGGAAAAGAAGACUUCUGAGAGAUUUUUGAUGGCUAAACGGUACAUGGAAUUUUCAAGGAGUCUAAAACUUGUUAAUGAAGUCAUUGAGGUUACCUUUUAUAGGCAACAAAUAGGGUAGAAUGUUCUAGAUGACACUCACACAUUUUUUUCUUUUAAUUUCAGAUUUCACCUAUUAGUCCUUUAAUUUCUGACUUGUUUCUCAAGUUACUGUCCUGAUUUUACUGAAUUAUAUACUAAACUCCUAUUCUUGAUGGCCCUACGCUGUUCUUUUAGCUAUACAAUACCUAUACUACCCCUAUCUUGAUUUUAAAAUUACUAUUCCUCAUAAAACAACCCUUUCUAUGUCUAAGCUACCCUUAUUUACCACCUGAAAUUACUAACUCCAGCUGACUACACCAAACCCCUUACCCUUGGCUAAAAUCUAACUAGUGUUAUUUAAAAAGGAUAAUGUAUUCAGCUAUAUCAAAACAACCUAUUUUAAACACUACCCUAAUUAGCACUAAUAUUGAAUUAACACUGAAUUAACAAUUAACAACUAACAUAAAUUGAAACAAAUCUGGGUCGAACCCAGAAGGGAAAAACAAAUAAAAAUCAAUAUGAACAAAUUAACACCUUCUUUGAACAAAUUAAAAGUAAACUAAACUUUAUAGUACCAGACUUUAAACCUCUAACAACGUUUUGUGGCUAACUAUUGAACAAGGUCAAAACCCAAAUUAAUCUUCAAACGAACAGGACAGGGAGAAAUCUAUCUAAACUAAAUAUUAAUUAAACCGAUUAAGCUAUUAAAUGAAGUAACGAAAGAGGAAAGAACUUAGAAUCGACCUAAUUAUCGUACUACUAAUUAACAAUGAAACAUGGACUACACUAACGAUGGUCAAACCAAAGAAGACGAGCAAAAGAAACUGAUAAAAUAAUAAAAACUAGAAGAGAAGACUCACCCAG
rnacentral:lncRNA from 1 species